UUCCUGGUGCCUGAAAUGGUAAAGAAGCCGCCUGCAAAGCAGUAGAUUCAGGUUCGAUCCCUGGGUUGGAAA
rnacentral:tRNA from 1 species